GAUGAACGCUAGCUACAGGCUUAACACAUGCAAGUCGAGGGGUAACGAGAGGAAAGCUUGCUUUCCUUGUUGACGACCGGCGCACGGGUGAGUAACGCGUAUCCAACCUGCCCCCAACUAGGGAAUAACCUUGCGAAAGUAAGACUAAUACCCUAUAAUUUCCUCAGAUGUCAUCUGACGAGGAAUAAAGAUUUAUCGGUUGUGGAUGGGGAUGCGUCUGAUCAGCUUGUUGGCGGGGUAACGGCCCACCAAGGCAACGAUCAGUAGGGGUUCUGAGAGGAAGGUCCCCCACAUUGGAACUGAGACACGGUCCAAACUCCUACGGGAGGCAGCAGUGAGGAAUAUUGGUCAAUGGGCGGAAGCCUGAACCAGCCAAGUAGCGUGCAGGAUGACGGCCCUAUGGGUUGUAAACUGCUUUUAUACAGGAAUAAAGUUAGCCACGUGUGGUUAUUUGUAGGUACUGUAUGAAUAAGGACCGGCUAAUUCCGUGCCAGCCGCCGCUGUAA
rnacentral:rRNA from 1 species